GCGCGCAUGCGCCGGGGAGGCCCGCCGCGCAGGCCGUUUGGCUGGGCCCUGGCCGCGCAGCACCUCGCGGAGUCGGGAGGCGGGUGGGAGUGCGCCGGAGAGACGAGCCGCUCGCCACGCGCCGGCUUCGUGCUGGGCGCCCUCGGGGACUCCGGAGGAGACCCCGCCUUCCAGGCCCGCGCCUCCCUUCGGAGCGGCGAGACCCGCGUCCCGUGCCCGCCCUGCCUCAGUUUCCCCAUUUGUAGGGUGGGAGCUCACAGCCCUCCCUAGAGGCCAGAAGGGGCCGGAAGGCGGGGAGCAGGGCGGCUCCGUGGUGGGAGUGGUGGGACGAGGACGCGAAGAUGCCCGGGAGGUGCCAGAUCUGGGCCAUGGGCCAGAAGAUGCUAUGUGCUGCCCUCACAGAGCAGGAACUUGAAGUAAGGAAUUGGGAGCCUGCUCAAGAGAAUGGGCUAACCAGGAUGGCCCGACCUGAACCCGCGAGAACACAAGCUCAAGGGAGCACAGACAGCCCGUUGUGUUUAUCGCUGCCUCCCGGGUGCUCAGAACAAUCCCGAUACCUAGGACCAGUCAAUAACUAGGUGUCGAAUGAAUGAACAAGGGGCACGUGGUGUAUUUGGGUAAGCAAUAAAUAAGGCCGAUGUAAA